rnacentral:lncRNA from 1 species
AAAUCUAUGGUCUUUUUUUUUUAAACUACAGAUUGACUGACUCUAUGAGUUAUCUUUAAAAAUAUUUUUACUAAGGGCUUGAGUCUUUUUUAAUGGAUUUAACAUUUAAUUUAUAGUUUUAUUAUUCUACGUAGGAUAUUCUGAUUUGUUCUUUCUGUGUGUGUGUUUUCCUGGUUACUUAGAGAUUAGAAGUUAAUAUUAAGUAAAUGUUUUAUAUUCAAUCUGGUGGUUUUUUCAUUAUAUUUCAAAGGCUUAUUGCAACUUUGUUCAGAAUUCCUUUUACAAUUUUCAGCUGCAGAGUUGAGGUAUGAACUGUUUGUCUGGCU